rnacentral:rRNA from 1 species
UACAGAGGUCCCGAGCGUUGUUCGGAUUCACUGGGCGUAAAGGGUGCGUAGGCGGUUAAACAAGUCUGACGUGAAAUCCUGGAGCUUAACUCCGGAAUGGCGUCGGAAACUGUUUGGCUUGAGGAUUGGAGAGGGGACUGGAAUUCUCGGUGUAGCAGUGAAAUGCGUAGAUAUCGAGAGGAACACCAGUGGCGAAGGCGAGUCCCUGGACAAUACCUGACGCUGAGGCACGAAAGCUAGGGGAGCAAACAGG